rnacentral:rRNA from 1 species
CCUGCCCCCUCCCCCGGGAUAGCCGCCCGAAAGGACGGGUAAUACCGGAUACCCCCGGGCGCCGCAUGGCGCCCGGGCUAAAGCCCCGACGGGAGGGGAUGGCUCCGCGGCCCAUCAGGUAGACGGCGGGGUGACGGCCCACCGUGCCGACAACGGGUAGCCGGGUUGAGAGACCGACCGGCCAGAUUGGGACUGAGACACGGCCCAGACUCCUACGGGAGGCAGCAGUGGGGAAUCUUGCGCAAUGGGGGGAACCCCGACGCAGCGACGCCGCGUGCGGGACGGAGGCCUUCGGGUCGUAAACCGCUUUCAGCAGGGAAGAGUCAAGACUGUACCUGCAGAAGAAGCCCCGGCUAACUACGUGCCAGCAGCCGCGGUAAUACGUAGGGGGCGAGCGUUAUCCGGAUUCAUUGGGCGUAAAGCGCGCGUAGGCGGCCCGGCAGGCCGGGGGUCGAAGCGGGGGGCUCAACCCCCCGAAGCCCCCGGAACCUCCGCGGCUUGGGUCCGGUAGGGGAGGGUGGAACACCCGGUGUAGCGGUGGAAUGCGCAGAUAUCGGGUGGAACACCGGUGGCGAAGGCGGCCCUCUGGGCCGAGACCGACGCUGAGGCGCGAAAGCUGGGGGAGCGAACAGGAUUAGAUACCCUGGUAGUCCCAGCCGUAAACGAUGGACGCUAGGUGUGGGGGGACGAUCUCCCCGUGCCGCAG